CUACGGGAGGCAGCAGUGGGGAAUAUUGCACAAUGGGGGAAACCCUGAUGCAGCCAUGCCGCGUGUGUGAAGAAGGCCUUCGGGUUGUAAAGCACUUUCAGUUGUGAGGAAAAGUUAGUAGUUAAUACCUGCUAGCCGUGACGUUAACAACAGAAGAAGCACCGGCUAACUCCGUGCCAGCAGCCGCGGUAAUACGGAGGGUGCGAGCGUUAAUCGGAAUUACUGGGCGUAAAGCGCACGCAGGCGGUUUGUUAAGCUAGAUGUGAAAGCCCCGGGCUCAACCUGGGAUGGUCAUUUAGAACUGGCAGACUAGAGUCUUGGAGAGGGGAGUGGAAUUCCAGGUGUAGCGGUGAAAUGCGUAGAUAUCUGGAGGAACAUCAGUGGCGAAGGCGACUCCCUGGCUAAAGACUGACGCUCAUGUGCGAAAGUGUGGGUAGCGAACAGGAUUAGAUACCCUGGUAGUCCACACCGUAAACGCUGUCUACUAGCUGUUUGUGAUUUUAAAUCGUGAGUAGCGAASUAACGCGCUAAGUAGACCGCCUGGGGAGUACGGCCGCAAGGUUAAAACUCAAAUGAAUUGACGG
rnacentral:rRNA from 1 species